GUCAUCGCCAAGGCAGACACACUCACCCUGGAGGAGAGGGACUUCUUCAAACAGACGAUCAGGGAAGGACUGCGAGCCAACGGGAUCGACGUCUACCCUCAGAAAGAGUUUGACGAGGAUGCUGAUGACAGGACGAUCAAUGAUGAGAUCAGGGAGAUGAUCCCAUUUGCUGUGGUGGGGAGCAACCAGUAGUACCUGAUCAAUGGAAAGAUUAUUCUGG